rnacentral:rRNA from 1 species
UACGUAGGUGGCAAGCGUUGUCCGGAAUUAUUGGGCGUAAAGCGCGCGCAGGCGGCCUUUUAAGUCUGAUGUGAAAGCCCACGGCUCAACCGUGGAAGGUCAUUGGAAACUGAAAGGCUUGAGUACAGAAGAGGAAAGCGGAAUUCCACGUGUAGCGGUGAAAUGCGUAGAGAUUUGGAGGAACACCAGUGGCGAAGGCGACUAUCUGGUCUGUAACUGACACUGAGGCGCGAAAGCGUGGGGAGCAAACAGG